UUGCAACCCUUGCAUUCUCUUCAACUUCUUCCUUCCGCUUCUUAUUCUAAUCCUCUAUCCCAAAUCGUAAAACCCUGUAAACAUUACAGUUUCUACUCCACCUUCUUCUUUCUUCCUUCUUCCAUUUCUUCUUGGUGAUUCCUUCUUCCAUUUCUUCUUGGUGAUUCCUUCUUCUUCCUUCUCCCAUCCAUUCUUCUUCAUUUCUCUGUCUAGUUCCAUCCGUCAAGCCUCUGUUUCCAGAAACUCCUUCCAGUCUCC
rnacentral:lncRNA from 1 species